AUAGGAUUUGGUGAUAUGGUACCAAAGACAUACCUUGGUAUGAUUGUUGGUAGUGUUUGUGCAUUAAUGGGUGUCUUAACAAUAGCCCUUCCUGUACCAGUUAUUGUUUCUAAU
rfam:Strongyloides ratti strain ED321 Heterogonic genome assembly, scaffold: srae_chrx_scaffold0000003